AAGAUGGCGACCGGCGCACGGGUGAGUAACACGUAUCCAACCUGCCGAUAACUCGGGGAUAGCCUUUCGAAAGAAAGAUUAAUACCCGAUGGCAUAGUUCUUCCGCAUGGUAGAACUAUUAAAGAAUUUCGGUCAUCGAUGGGGAUGCGUUCCAUUAGGUUGUUGGCGGGUAACGGCCCACCAAGCCUUCGAUGGAUAGGGGUUCUGAGAGGAAGGUCCCCCACAUUGGAACUGAGACACGGUCCAA
rnacentral:rRNA from 1 species